CAAUAGCGUAUAUUUAAGUUGUUGCAGUUAAAAAGCUCGUAGUUGGAUUUCGGAUGGGACUUGCCGGUCCGUCGUUUCGAUGUGCACUGGCCAGUCCUAUCUUGUUGUCGGGGACUAGCUCCUGGGCUUCACUGUCCGGGACUAGGAGCUGACGAGGUUACUGUGAGUAAAUUAGAGUGUUCAAAGCAAGCCUACGCUCUGAAUACAUUAGCAUGGAAUAACACGAUAGGACUCUGGCUUAUCUUGUUGGUCUGUGAGACCAGAGUAAUGAUUAAGAGGGACAGUCGGGGGCAUUCGUAUUUCAUUGUCAGAGGUGAAAUUCUUGGAUUUAUGAAAGACGAACUUCUGCGAAAGCAUUUGUCAAGGAUGUUUUCAUUAA
rnacentral:rRNA from 1 species